AGCCUCGUAGCUCAGUUGGCUAGAGCUUUGGCUGUACUAAACCCUUUGCCUUGCUGAGGUUGGUUCAAAUCCCAUUGAGGCUG
rnacentral:tRNA from 1 species